UUUUUUUUUUUUUUUUUUUUUUUUUGAGGCAUAGCCUUGCCUAAGCUGAACAGCUAUUUGUAACCCUUCCUCAGCUGUCCCAGUAGGUGGAGUUUACAGCAUGUGCCAUGUGCGGCCAUACCCAGUCAUCUGACUACACCUCACAAUCUAAAGCCGGGUCUGAGGUAGCUGAUGUUACUCCUGUGGUUUGAGCUGGGAACGACUCACGGAUAAAAAUAUAUAGUGUGUAACUAGUAGAACUAGGAAACACCAAGGCAAGACAUUUGGCAAGUUUAAUAAAAACUAUUCUUUGGUUGUUGUAUAUUUUUUUAAAACUUGUAUUUUGCUGCAUUGUUUGGUUUGAAACAUAUCACCUGUGUAAGCCAUAUCUUGAAUGAACUUAAAUGUUCGCCAUAACUAUUUGAAAGUUAAUAUAUAUGGUUAAAUUUCUUGCUGAUACCAAAAGAGAUCAUUUGGAGAUAAAAACAACCUUUGCUUGU
rnacentral:lncRNA from 1 species